AACGAACGCUGGCGGCAGGCUUAACACAUGCAAGUCGAGCGCCCCGCAAGGGGAGCGGCAGACGGGUGAGUAACGCGCGGGAACGUACCCUUUGCUACGGAAUAGCUCCGGGAAACUGGAAUUAAUACCGUAUGUGCCCUACGGGGGAAAGAUUUAUCGGCAAAGGAUCGGCCCGCGUUGGAUUGGCUAGUUGGUGGGGUAAUGGCCUACCAAGGCGACGAUCCAUAGCUUGUCUGAGAGGAUGAUCAGCCACAUUGGGACUGAGACACGGCCCAAACUCCUACGGGAGGCAGCAGUGGGGAAUAUUGGACAAUGGGCGCAAGCCUGAUCCAGCCAUGCCGCGUGAGUGAUGAAGGCCUUAGGGUUGUAAAGCCCUUUCAGUGGGGAAGAUAAUGACGGUACCCACAGAAGAAGCCCCGGCUAACUUCGUGCCAGCCGCCGCGGUAAAAC
rnacentral:rRNA from 1 species